UACGUAGGGGGCUAGCGUUGUCCGGAUUUAUUGGGCGUAAAGAGCGUGUAGGCGGCCAGGUAGGUCUGGUGUGAAAACUCGAGGCUUAACCUCGAGAUGUCAUCGGAAACCAUCUGGCUAGAGUCCGGAAGAGGAGAGUGGAAUUCCUGGUGUAGCGGUGAAAUGCGUAGAUAUCGGUAGGAACACCAGUGGCGAAGGCGGCUCACUGGACCGUAGUUGACGCUGAGGUGCGAAAGCGUGGGGAGCAAACGGG
rnacentral:rRNA from 1 species